GAUGAAGAACGCAGCGAAAUGCGAUAAGUAAUGCGAAUUGCAGAAUUCCAGUGAGUCAUCGAAUCUUUGAACGCACAUUGCGCCCUUUGGUAUUCCGAAGGGCAUGCCUGUUCGAGCGUCAUUAUCACCCCUCAAGCCCUCGGCUUGGUGUUGGACGGUUUGGUGGAGGCCCCCUCGGGGGCUCCUGCCCCUCCCAAAGACAAUGACGGCGGCCUCGUUGGACCCCCGGUACACUGAGUUCUUCACGGGACACGUAUCGGACACAUGGGUUUACGGGACACGGUCUGCCUCCCCUCAGGGAGAAUCUUUCUAAGGUUGACCUCGGAUCAGGUAGGGAUACCCGCUGAACUUAAGCAUAUCAUAAGCGGAGGA
rnacentral:misc_RNA from 1 species